AAUACAUUUUUAAAUACAGAAUAAAUGAUAAAUUAUGACUAUGCCUGCAGAAUUCUCUUUAUUUCUAAAGGGGCAUUGGUAACCAAAAAGCUAUGUGUUUUCAAUGAAGGGAUGCUGAUGUGUUUAUUUGUAUAUUUAUGCUCACAAUUUUGGACUAUAUAUAUAUAUAUAUAUAUUUAAGAAUAAAAUAGAAAAGAAAAGGUAAAGUGCUAGUAUUAGUUGGUCAAGUGAAAAUGAGUAAAGACUCAGCUGUUCGAAUUGAGAUUGGGUUACAAUUAAGAGAUUGAGAUUUUUGCGAUUGGUUGUACUAUGUAGAGACAAAACAGGUGCACGGAAUUGUCUUUAACUAAAUUUUUUUUUUUUUUUUUUUUGUUAUUUCAGAGUUGACAAGACAUUUUCCAGAGCCAGGAGUUUGUGGGGUGCGACUGACUUGAGAAGCUCACUGCUGCCAGAUGAGAGAGGAGAUCCUACAUCCGUCCACACGCAGAAACAGGAUGGAGGAGAGCCCUGUGUUUCUAACACACUAGAUCCUUCACUGUUUCAGCCCUCACUGCCUCACACCGGCCCUGUGUUCCUCAAGACACCUGAUUUAUUUGAAAUGAUUGAGAAAAUGCAGGUAAUGUGUUUCUUUUACUUUUUUCUUUUUCCUUCCCUCUGCCUUUCAUCUCUGAUGCAGAUAUUUUCCAUUAACCUCUAAAUCAGCUGUCCUAACUGGCUACAUAGUUGCUACUUGCAUUGUUUUGUUGUAGCCCUGAUUUAUUUGAAAUGAUUGAGAAAAUGCAGGUAAUGUGUUUCUUUUACUUUUUUCUUUUUUCCUUCCCUCUGCCUUUCAUCUCUGAUGCAGAUAUUUUCCAUUAACCUCUAAAUCAGCUGUCCUAACUGGCUACAUAGUUGCACUUGCAUGUUUUUGUUGUAGCUGAAAGUCAUCACUGUAAAUGUUGAGGACAUAUAUUCAUUAUAAGCCACAAGAAUGACCCAACCAGUGCUGCACUGAAACUAUACUGUAUCUUACAUUCAAGUACAUAUAAAAAAUAUAUGCAUAUUGUAUUUUUUUUUAACUAUGGCUAUCUGGUUACAUAAUAGUUUCUUCUUCUUCUUCUUCUUUCUUUUUUUACAGUUAUGGUAGUUCUUCUUUCUUCUUCUUCUUUUUUUUACAGUUAUGGUGAAAAAAUAUGCAAAUAUUUAUUGUUGUGCCCUGAAUAUCAUAGUCAUACAGUUGCCAAAUCUGCAAUGAGUAUGUUUUGAACUAGGAAGAGAACAAAUUCUCUAGUGUCUCUGGUGCUGAAAUACAAGAAGAUCCUGUUGUUGGGUACACAGAGACAUAUUGAUCUUAGUCAUUUGAUAUUGCUGUUGUUAUCUCUAACUAAAGAUGGACAGAUGUCUAUGCAGGAACUAUAAUAAGGGCACUAAAUGCACCAUAAUGCUUCGGAGAACAGAAUAUUAUUUAUUUAUAUUUAUUUUUUGAUGAUCAGCACUUUAAGUUAAAUAAGUGGACAAAUGGUUUGAUACUUGCAAAUUUAAGAUGUUAUAUUUUGACUGUAAAAAACUUUGAAAUAUUUGAACGUGUUCACCCUGCAUGCUCACAAUCAUGCUUUGAUCUAGUGUUCCACGGUCUGCCGUAUUCUUAAAACCUGAUUAAAGAGAAUAAAAAACAGUUCAUUGUCUAAGACAGAUCUUUAGGCCUUUUUCUGUCUUUCAGCUUGUCUCCCUAAAAUAAUGUGCUCUUUUCUACUAUUGUUUAAAUGCAUGUGAACUUUCUUUUAAUAAAAUGUUGUGGUCUUUCAUAAUCAUUUUAUGAAUGUCACAUUAUGCUGUUUAACUUUUUUCCCCCAGGCUAUUGUGUGUUUUCCUUGCACUGAGCUUUUUUUAUGAAUUACAUAAUAUUUUGUUGUCAUACUCAAAUCAUACUCAUAAAAUCAUACUUUUAAUGUGAAAUAAUUUCUUAAAAUUUGUUGUUGUUUUUUAGAAUACACCCUCUUUAAAAACAAAUUAAGAAUUACAUUAAUUAGUAUAUUUUUAUAUUUGCUAAGAUUGAGUUGUUUUGCUCACUGUGGGCAAUAUAAUCCACAUUUUUAUAGAAAUGAAGAAUACUUGCAUUAAAAA
rnacentral:lncRNA from 1 species